AGGACGAGCGCUGGCGGCGUGCUUAACACAUGCAAGUCGAACGGUGACGAGAAGCUUGCUUCUCUGAUCAGUGGCGAACGGGUGAGUAACACGUGAGCAACCUACCCUUGACUCUGGGAUAACAGUUGGAAACAGCUGCUAAUACCGGAUACGACCCCGACCGACAUCAGUUGGGGUGGAAAGUUCUGGCGGUCAAGGAUGGGCUCGCGGCCUAUCAGCUAGUUGGUGAGGUAACGGCUCACCAAGGCUUCGACGGGUAGCCGG
rnacentral:rRNA from 1 species